rfam:Oryza nivara chromosome 1, whole genome shotgun sequence.
AAUAAUUGUAGUUUUAAACUAUUCACGUUCAACGUUUCAUCGUUCAUCUUAUUUGAAAAUUUUUUAUGAUUAGUAUUUUUAUUGCUAUUAGAUGAUAAAACAUGAAUAGUAUUUUAUGUGUGACUAAAUAUUUUUAAUUUUUCAUAAAUUUUUUAAAUAAGACGGAUGGUCAAACGUUGGGCAUGAAUAUCUACAGUUGCACUUAUU